CUGACCUAAAAAAUUUGGGAGUAAGAGCUGUUUUUUUUUGGUAACAAAAACAAAAACUAAAAGAAAAAAAGAGGAAAAGAAAAGAAAAGGGAAUUUCGCGUUACAAGCAUAUUCCGCGUUGCUGCUCAUUUUUCUCACUGUUUACAGGUAUAUAAUAUUAUUAUUAUUAUUAUUAUUUUAUUAAACGCAUUGAAAGAAAGAAAGAAAGAAGGAAAGAAAGGUUUUGUGAGUUUAGAGAGAGAAUAUAUCUGAAAAUGUCUGCUGGGAUCGCAUCUAGAUCGGGAGGACUCAUGAAAUUUCUUCGGCCUAGACUUCAGCCCAUCGAUGUUCAGUCUGCUGCCUUGUGGGGUGUCGCCGCCACCACCACCGCUCUUUGGGUCGUUCAGCCAUUUGAUUGGAUAAAGAAGACAUUUUUGGAGAAACCUGAGGCUGAGGGGCAAUGAUACUGAUGCAGGAUUCUCCUGGAGCCAUUUGAUUAGAUCAUUUUUCAGGAUUCAGUGAACAAUCGGAGUAGAUCCCAUUUCAAUAAUGCUUUGUUUCUAUUGCUUGUUUGCAGCUCCUUCUGGGGGACUGCAGUGACAAUAGCAUGUUUAUUAAACACUUUCUUUCACAUGUCGUUAUGAAUUUUGCUCAAACACAUGUAUUGGAUGAGUCAAAAACACUGGAAUUCUUAUAAGCUGCUGAAGAUUUACUUUUAAAUAAGGUCUCAAGUGAUUUCUUCA